CUCUCUCUCUCUCUAAAGUGUUACAAGAAAUAUGGGCUAGAAAAAAAGGUGGGACACUCUGCAGUAAAAUUGGCCCAUCUAAAUUAUUUACAUGGGAUAUUGAACGCCUUAGACCUGGGGAAAUUGAGGUUAUCAUGCAUACUUGUCCUACCUCAUAAAAAAAUUAUGCUGGUAAGGCAUAUGUGUUUGAUUCUUUUCCAGCAACAAGUAUUUGGCAAGGCAAUCCCAGUUCAAUGAAAAGGAUGAAUCCAGAGGUGUAUGAUGUUCUUAUUGGGACAGUUAAUGAGAACAAUCACUGCACGCUCCUGGUGAUGUAUCCUAACAAAUGGAGAAUACUGUACCUAAAUUCGCUUGGUGAAAACCAAAGUAAACUGGAACACUGUAAAAAGGCUGUAAGCAUAUUUAUGGCCACAAAAGGAAAUCUUGGGGAAAAGUGGGAAUGUGGUUAAGUACCACACUGCUUACAGAAGGAUGACAAUUCAUGUGAGGUAUUUGUAUGCAAAUUUGCAGAAGCUAUUUUAAAAGGAGGUAAUUAGGAGUUUGAAAGUACAGUGGCCAGCAUAAAUGUAAUUCGCCAAGACAUGGGCCUUUGCCUUCUACAAGAAACAGAGGACCUCUCUGAACAAUGCUUGGCCUGUGGGGACAAAUAUCCAUACACAGAAGACGUUGAGGACUCUUGGGUCUGCUAAUUAGCAAACUGUUCUUCGACGUUUCACCCUGCUUCAAAACAUGUUAUAACGUCAGUGUCUCUUUCAGAUUCAGUGUGACCGCUGCAAUGGAUGGUUUCACUGGGAAUGUGUAAACAGACCCAAUAUAAAAGAUAGUUUUGUUUGUCACAG